UACGUAGGGUGCAAGCGUUACUCGGAAUUACUGGGCGUAAAGCGUGCGCAGGCGGUUGGGCAAGACAGAUGUGAAAUCCCCGGGCUUAACCUGGGAACUGCAUUUGUGACUGCCCGGCUAGAGUGUGUCAGAGGGGGGUAGAAUUCCACGUGUAGCAGUGAAAUGCGUAGAUAUGUGGAGGAAUACCGAUGGCGAAGGCAGCCCCCUGGGAUAACACUGACGCUCAUGCACGAAAGCGUGGGGAGCAAACAGG
rnacentral:rRNA from 1 species